GAGACUUGACUUGGGGUGGUGCACACACAAUACAGUAUACAGAUGAUGUAUUAUAGAAUUAUACAGCUGAAACCAGUAUAAUUUCAUUAGCCAACGUCACCCCAAUAAAUUCAAUAAAAAUAAAAGUAAAUU